GGGUGUGAGGGCAACCUGGCUGCCCUGUCCGUUAUUCUGUGGAUCGCUGAUUCAGCUGAUCUGACUGGCUAGACAAGUGUCCCCUCCCUCCCUCCCUGUUCCACGUUCAUCCCUCCUGAAGUUGUGCAUUCUUCAAAGAGGACGAGCUUCCUGGAAUAGAGGAGGACCAGUCUUCAGUGGAGGAUAGCGGAGUAGCCCCGUUCCCCUGGUAGAACCUCCACACAAGCUCUCAAAUAGGUCUUUCAGAUUUGAGUCCCCACCGUAAGUGUCUCUCUCUGGUGAGCUGAGAUGACAGGCGUGGGCUG
rnacentral:snRNA from 1 species